rnacentral:rRNA from 1 species
UUAGCCUACGGGGGGCAGCAGUAGGGAAUCUUCCACAAUGGGCGAAAGCCUGAUGGAGCAACGCCGCGUGGGUGAAGAAGGUCUUCGGAUCGUAAAACCCUGUUGUUAGAGAAGAAAGUGCGUGAGAGUAACGGUUCACGCUUCGACGGUAGCUAACAAGAAAGCCACGGCUAACUACGUGCCAGCAGCCGCGGUAAUACGUAGGUGGCAAGCGUUAUCCGGAUUUAUUGGGCGUAAAGCGAGUGCAGGCGGAUCA